rnacentral:rRNA from 1 species
AUUGAACGCUGGCGGCAUGCUUUACACAUGCAAGUCGGACGGUAACAGGUUAAGCUGACGAGUGGCGAACGGGUGAGUAAUGCAUCGGAACGUGCCCGAUCGUGGGGGAUAACGCAGCGAAAGCUGCGCUAAUACCGCAUACGAUCUGAGGAUGAAAGCGGGGGACCGUAAGGCCUCGCGCGAUCGGAGCGGCCGAAGUCAGAUUAGGUAGUUGGUGGGGUAAAGGCUCACCAAGCCAACGAUCUGUAGCUGGUCUGAGAGGACGACCAGCCACACUGGGACUGAGACACGGCCCAGACUCCUACGGGAGGCAGCAGUGGGGAAUUUUGGACAAUGGGCGAAAGCCUGAUCCAGCAAUGCCGCGUGCAGGAAGAAGGCCUUCGGGUUGUAAACUGCUUUUGUACGGAGCGAAAAGGCUCUCUCUAAUACAGGGGGCUCAUGACGGUACCGUAAGAAUAAGCACCGGCUAACUACGUGCCAGCAGCCGCGGUAAGAC